GACGAAGGGGGCUAGCGUUGUUCGGAAUUCCUGGGCGUAAAGCGCGUGUAGGCGGUUGUUCAAGUCAGGUGUGAAAGCCUUGAGCUCAACUCAAGAAAUGCACUUGAUACUGGAUGACUAGAGGACCGGAGAGGAUAGUGGAAUUCCCAGUGUAGUGGUGAAAUACGUAGAGAUUGGGAAGAACACCAGUGGCGAAGGCGGCUAUCUGGACGGUUUCUGACGCUAAGACGCGAAAGCGUGGGGAGCAAACAGG
rnacentral:rRNA from 1 species